UACGUAGGCAGCGAGCGUUGUUCGGAAUUACUGGGCGUAAAGGGUGCGCAGGCGGCCUGGCGCGUCGCGAGUGAAAUCUCCCGGCUCAACUGGGAGGGUGGUCGCGAGACGGCUAGGCUUGAGGCUCGGUGAGGGGCGUGGAAUUCCGGGUGGAGCGGUGAAAUGCGUAGAGAUCCGGAGGAACACCGACGGCGUAGGCAGCGCCCUAGACGAGACCUGACGCUCAGGCACGAAAGCGCGGGGAGCGAACAGG
rnacentral:rRNA from 1 species